rnacentral:lncRNA from 1 species
ACAUACUUACCAAAUCGUUCGAUCACAUAAGCCUUCUUUUCGGGGACAAUUCGAAUACCCCAAUUGAUAGGAGGAGUAAUCUCAUAGCUAUGAAAAUGAACAAAGGUUAGAAAAUCAAAUAAAAAAUAAAUGAAAAAAUAUGGAGAGAAAGUAGAAGGUAUGCAGGGGGAGUAUAGAGAAGUCACCUGAUGUUGGGAUCUCGACCAGUGCGAAGAUAGCGGAUGGUGGUGGCAGAAAAGAGAGGAUGUGAGAUCAGAGAAGAAGGUCGAGGAGAAAAAGGGUUGUUGGAGAUGAGAAAUGAAGAACGCGUCGGAGUCAAUGGCGAAAGGGUGGAGAGAUGUCUGGAAUGGGCAAUGAAUUGGAGAAAUCUAAGGGUGGAAGAAGCAUUGGGCUUGAAACUAUUCAUCAUGUCUGGAGCGAAUGAAGAAGGAUAAAGUAAAGCCCUAGUAAAUUUAAAUCCUCGAGGUUUUAGAACAAGAAGAAGUAGACCCCAGCUCAACUUUUCCUUUCUUGCAGCUGAAGCCUGAAGAAGACGAAGAUAUCGACAGUUCACACACACACCCCGACUCCUGAGUCCUCCUACUACCACUCUUUACCGAAUACAUUCUAAAAUUAUACAAAAUACUCCGACUAUACUCCACCCACGUUUUCUUUCUUUUCCAA